UGGGGAAUUGUUCGCAGUGGGCGCAAGCCUGACGACGCAACGCCGCGUGGAGGAUGAAGGUCUUCGGAUUGUAAACUCCUGUUGCCCGGGAAGAACGGCCCUGACCUAACACGUCGGGGUUUGACGGUACCGGGUGAGGAAGCCCCGGCUAACUCUGUGCCAGCAGCCGCGGUAAUACAGAGGGGGCAAGCGUUGUUCGGAAUUACUGGGCGUAAAGGGCGCGUAGGCGGCCUCCUAAGUCGGACGUGAAAUCCCCGAGCUCAACUCGGGAACUGCGUCCGAUACUGGUUGGCUUGAAUCCGGGAGAGGGAUGCGGAAUUCCAGGUGUAGCGGUGAAAUGCGUAGAUAUCUGGAGGAACACCGGUGGCGAAGGCGGCAUCCUGGACCGGCAUUGACGCUGAGGCGCGAAAGCCAGGGGAGCAAACGGG
rnacentral:rRNA from 1 species